AAGAAAAUGGCAGAGUGGUUAUGUGGUCGACUUGAAAUCGGCACACGGGGGUUCGAUUCCCUCUUUUCUGG
rnacentral:tRNA from 1 species